GUCCCUGUAGCACAACGGAUAGUGCCGCGGACUUCUAAGCCGCUGAUGUUGGUUCGAUUCCAACCGGGGACACCA
rnacentral:tRNA from 1 species